CCCCACCCCAUCCCACUUAACACUUCUUUCGCUUUUACUUUUUUUUUUAACUCAGUUAAGUUUUGAGUUUUAACCUACCGAAAACUACCGAUAAAAUUUUGAUGCGCCUACCGAAAACCGCCAAAAUAAUCUGGCCACACUGCGCCGAAGGAGCAUUGGCAGAUACAGUGCUAGGCAAACUUUACUCACCGUAUGGAUAUUUGUGGAAUCUCUUGAGAAAUUUCAUAGUUGUAGGAAAAUUGUCCGAGAAAAUAUGAAAAUUGUGUUGUUGGAUGAGGUCUACACCUUCUAGGGAAUAGAUUGUGCAUAAAAAGGAAUGGACAUGGACUUCCGAGGUCUGAGCAUGCGACGGUGCUACAAGUAAAUAGUUUUCAUUCUUAAUGUCCAUCAGAAGAAAACCAGAGAAAACCAGAAGUCAGAGUCGUCAGAAAACCGUGAGCUGCAGAACAAAAGGUCCUGCUACGCCGUUCAACAAAAUCGCAAUCAUCAAUGACCCUCUCAUAGUUGAGCAUUGCUAUAGAACUUCAGGAUGUUCCUGUCUCCGAUAGCUCCUACACUACCUCAUCCAGUCAUAGAUUCAAAGCUUUACUGUUCUGUAGUUCGUGGCGGAUUGGACAACUGUCUAUAAAGCCAUUCUAUACGCCGAUAAGUAAGUAAGUACAUAUGUUCUCGUACAUCAUCCAUAACAGGGCUAUGCAAACUCAUUUCUUAGUUCCAAAUUAAAUCCAAGGAGCACAUAGAAAAAAACUGAUUCAGAAUCUAUACCUGUUUAUGAACUGAUCCCGAACCAAUAGUGGUUCUGGAACAGUUCCUUGUACAAUACAGUCUCUGAAACUGAUGCUGCAUUCAAACCGAUUCUGGAACUAAUACUGAAUCAAUACCGGUCAUUGAACUGAUCCUGAACCCAGACCGGUCAUGGAAUUGAUCCGGAACUCUUACCGAUCCUGGAUCUGAUCCUGAACCCAUACUGCACCUACUCCAAUCCUGUAACUGAUUCCAGUGCUCUCAGUAUGCAAUAUAACAAACACAUAUGACAUAAACCCCAUAAUUUGAAUUGGAUUUCAAGUUUAUUGCUCGUGAUUAUAUUGUUGCAUCGAACUAUAGCUUGUUCACCCCACCUACACACUAGAAGCUAUAGAAAGCGCAAAUGAUGAAAAUAACGCAAUACACAACAAA